rnacentral:rRNA from 1 species
ACUCAAAGGAAUUGACGGGGGCCCGCACAAGCGGCGGAGCGUGCGGUUUAAUUCGACGCAACGCGCAAAACCUUACCAGGGCUUGACAUGCUUCUGCAGAGCCGGGAAACCGGUUGGCCUUCGAGGGUGAAGCACAGGUGCUGCAUGGCUGUCGUCAGCUCGUGUCGUGAGAUGUUGGGUUAAGUCCCGCAACGAGCGCAACCCUCGUGUGUAGUUGUCGAUGUUUCUACACAGACUGCCGCGAGCAACGCGGAGGAAGGUGGGGAUGACGUCAAGUCAGCAUGGCCCUUACGUCCUGGGCAACACGCACGCUACAAUGGAUGGGACAACGGGUAGCCAAGCGGCAACGCGGAGCGAAUCCCAGCAAACCCAUUCUCAGUUGGAAUUGUGGGCUGCAACUCGCCCGCAUGAACGCGGAGUCGCUAGUAACCGCAGGUCAGCACUACUGCGGUGAAUACGUUCCCGGGCCUUGUACACACCGCCCGU